rnacentral:misc_RNA from 1 species
CCUGCGGACGAGAGACUCGCAAGCCUCCGCCGGAGCCGGUCGCCUGGGCGUCGACGGAGGAGAGCGCGGGUGCGUGCGUCCGUCGCCGCUGCUGGGACGAAGAUGUGCGCGCGAAACGGGACGACACGCGGGGAAGUGGGCUUCUAGCUUGAGGCAUGGCGCACGCUGGCCGACCGAGUCGACGACAGCAGAGAGGGACGCCGCGCCGCUAGACUUAGGCAAAUGCAGGGUCCCGUCGGCCAGAGGUGCCGGCGGAGCGGCCCGUCAGCGCGGAGGACGCGGCAGGCCGCCUUCCAGCUGCUGCUGCUGAUGACGAUGACCGUGGCGACGACGUCCGAGGCGCGCCCGGCAACGGAGGUCUCGGAUGCGGAUGCUCUGGGCUUCCUGGAGCGCUUCGGCUACAUGGGCGACACGAGCCGCAACGCGGUGCUUCCCUCCGACAACCUGCGCACCGAGCAGGGCUUCCGGGCGGCGCUGCGGCGUAUGCAGCGCUUCGCGGGACUCCGGCCCACCGGACAGCUGGACGCCGAGACGAUGGCCAUGAUGAAGAGGCCGCGCUGCGGAGUCCCCGACGUCAUCGGGCACGCCGAGCGAGUCAGGCGCUACGCGCUGCAGGGCGCCAAGUGGGACAAGACAGACCUCACCUGGAGCGUGGAGGAGUUCCCGCGUCAGGUCGACCGCGGCAUGAUCCGGUCGGCGAUCGGCAAGGCGCUGAAAGUGUGGAGCGACGCGUCCAAGCUGCGCUUCACCGAGAUCGCCGCCGUGUCGAGCCGCCGCCGGAGGCCUGGUGACGACGGGGGCGCCGAUCUCGCGGUGUCGUUCGCCAGGCUCGACCAUGGCGACGGCUACUCGUUCGACGGGCCGGGCACCGUCCUGGCGCACGCCUUCUUCCCUGGGGAAGGCCUGGGCGGAGACGCGCACUUCGACGCCGACGAGAACUGGAUCACCGGCACGCCCUCCAGGGACUCCAACGAGGUGAGCCUGUUCGCUGUGGCGGCGCACGAAUUCGGCCACUCGCUCGGCCUGUCCCAUUCGUCGGUUCCCGGGUCGCUGAUGUACCCGUACUACCAGGGAGUCAAGGAGGACUUCCAGCUGCCAUACGACGACAAAGUGGGCAUCCAGAGGCUCUACGGCGCCAAGUACCCGACCAAGUGGGCGUCCAUGCAACCCAUCAUCCCGCGGACGACGACUCCGUCCCCAGCGGGAAGAGGGCCGCAUGGACGACAGCCGGUCUCGGGAGGAGGAGGAGAGCCCCGGGGCAGACCGCCCCAGCAGCCACCAACGCGCAGGCCGCCCCAGCAGGCUCCACCGCAAAGGCCGGUGGACGACGGAAAACCCGACGGCUGCAGUACUUCCAUCGACGCCAUCGCCGUCAUUCGACGCGAGCUGUUCGUCUUCAAGGGAAAGUACUUCUGGCGCAUCAACGAGGAGGGCCUCAAAGAAGGCUACCCCGUGGAGAUCAGUCUCUUCUGGUUCGACUUGCCCGCUAACCUCGAGAAGAUCGAUGCCGUCUACGAGAGGCCCGACCAGAAGAUCGCCUUCUUCAUAGGUCGCCAAUACUGGCUGUUCAGCAGCAACCGUCCCUUGCCUGGCUACCCGCGGCCACUGACUAACCUAGGCCUGCCGGCCAGCUUGACGCACGUGGACGCAGCCAUGGUGUGGGGACACAACGGGAAGACGUACUUCUUCAGCGGCGACCAGUACUGGCGCUAUGACGAGUUCGACCGCAGCGUUGAGUUCGACUAUCCACGACACAUACGCAUGUGGAGAGGCGUGCCGCACAACGUCGAUGCUGCUUUCCAGCACACUGACGGCCAGACGUACUUCUUCAAGGGACAGAAGUUCUGGCGGUUCAAUGACCGUCGCAUGCAUGUCUACAACAGGACGAAACACGUUGGCGAGUGGUUUGGCUGUCCUGUGGCCAAGGCCUCCUAUGCAGACGAGCACAGUGCACUGAGCAGCAAUGUGCCGUUUACACUGGCCUCAACCCCUCUUCUUAUACUCAUCACUGCCCUCACGCUGGCCUUUGGGCAAAGAUCUUGAUCAUGGCCACUAGUUAUAAGGGUCCGGAUAUAAGUACUGGUGCCCUCCUGACAUGGUGCACAAUGAGGGUAGUGUGCCGGCAUUGUUCCGGUGAAGCUGCAGGCUGCGGCAAUGGCGAGAAGCAAAUAUGCACAGGUAUAGACACCAGUUCUAGUUGAAUCUCUUGUGCAACUGGUU